rnacentral:tRNA from 1 species
AUUUAAAUAGCUUAAGUUAAGAGUAUAAUAUUGAAGAUAUUAAGGUAGUAAGAUAUUUUUAAAUA